rnacentral:rRNA from 1 species
ACGGAAGGCAGCAGUGGGGAAUAUUGCACAAUGGGGGAAACCCUGAUGCAGCAACGCCGCGUGAGGGAAGAAGGUUUUUGGAUUGUAAACCUCUGUCUUUGGGGACGAUGAUGACGGUAUCCAAAGAGGAAGCUCCGGCUAACUACGUGCCAGCAGCCGCGGUAAUACGUAGGGGGCGAGCGUUGUCCGGAAUUACUGGGUGUAAAGGGAGUGUAGGCGGGUUUGCAAGUUGAAUGUGAAAUUUAUGGGCUUAACCCAUAAACUGCGUUCAAAACUGCAUAUCUUGAGUGGAGUAGAGGUAAACGGAAUUCCUAGUGUAGCGGUGAAAUGCGUAGAUAUUAGGAGGAACACCAGUGGCGAAAGCGGUUUACUGGGCUCUAACUGACGCUGAGGCUCGAAAGCGUGGGGAGCAAACAGGAUUAGAUACCCUGGUA